rnacentral:lncRNA from 1 species
UAUAUAUAGUCCGGCUGCUAUGCUAUCGAUAGUACCAAGCACUUGGUGCUAUCAAGUUUUCUGUCGUUAGAUUAACCCAUUUGAUUAUUUUUCCCCCUUAGAUUAUACUAUUCAACCAACUAAUCACUUAACCCUAAUGGGCCCACAUUAUCCUAACCGCACAUCGACUCGGAAUCUAACGUAUUUGAAGUUUCUAGAAAAUAUUUUUUGUAAUUUUUCGAUAUCAUUUAGCUAGUGAUCGAAAUAAUUCAAAAUCAAUAUUUUUUAAUGAUUGAUGUCUGUCGUUUUCCAGUUUAAUGGUGUAAGAGUAUUAGAUGAAAUUUUAAUACAAAGUUCUUUAUUCUAUCCACAACAAGAUCACUAUUUCUGAUCGAAAAGUUUAGUACUAUAUCACCACUUUAGUGUCCUACUAGUUGAUUAAUAUUACCGCUAGUUGAGAGUUAAAUUUUCACUAUUUGGACCAUUAAGCUUUU